UGAUUUCAAAGUUUAUACUUGACAUGUAUAUUAACGAACACCAGAGGGUGUGUCAUAAUGUAUGUACAACUUCCUAGGUCAAAAACUUUGGUUUUAGUUGACAACCCCAUGUCCUAUGGUAAAGAUUGUGUCCACUCUAUAUCUUGAGAACCGUUAUGAUUUCAAAAUUUAUACUUGACAUGUACAUAAACCAACACCAGAGGGUGUGUCAUAAUUUAUGUACAACUUCCUAUGUCAAAGGUCAAGGUCAAAAACUUUGGUUUCAGUUGACAACCCCAUGUCCAAUGAUAAUGAUACAAAUUUUUUACCACACAUUAUUCACAGCGGGGCCCUCAGAGAUGGCUCCCAUCUCAAUGAUAUCUAGUUUCUACUAUUGCAUUUACUGACUUGAAAUUUAAAAAGAUUUGACCAAGUUUUAAGUAGCAUUUGAAUUUUAGCAUUGCUGCAUGUAGUAUUGAUAAUAUUUUUUUUCUAUUUGGUUACUGGAUAAUACCUCAAGCAAAUCUUGCUUUACAUGCCAGAGUUCAACAACAAUCGGAUCAACAUCAUCAAAGCGCUUCUUAUAAUUUGGAGACAAGCUUCUUAAGGCUUUUGACUCAUUAAGCCGACUCCUAGUCAAUUGAUCUCCUCCUGUUACUACCUUGAACUGUCUCAACUUUUCAUCUGAACCUGCAAAAAUUUGUAAUGUAAAAUUCUGUUUUGUUCAUUUUAAGAAAAGUUUAUUGGUAGCUUGUGCAUUUUCCUUGUUAUCCUACUGACUAAUACUGAAGAUUCAGGACAGGACAGAAUACUCAAAAAUUUAAAGCAAUGAUGUCCCAUACAAAGCAUCAAUGUGGCAUUGAUAUAUAAAAAUCAAGAGAUGUGGUAUGAUUGCCAAGGAAACAACUAUCCAUCGAAGUUCAAAUGAAGUGGAUGGCAAGCAAUUAUAGGCAACAGUACAACCUUUGACAAUGAGAAAACCCAUACUGUAUAGGUGGCUAUGAAAGGCUCCGACAUAAAAAAUAUGAAACAAUUCAAUUGAAAAAACUAACAGCCUAAUUUAUGACAAAAAAAUUCAAAGGGAAUUUAACAUAAUAUGAAUUAAAGCUUUUUUUAUAAGACUAGUAUAUUUUCAGAAGAUGUAUAAAACAAAAGUAAAGACAUCAUACUGGACAUAUAAAGUUUGCCAUAAAAUAGUUCAGCUGUUGUCUCUCGGGGUUUUGUGAUGAUAAAUGUGCCUGUGCAAGAUCUUUUGCAAGAAGAAAAAAAAAGGAAUGUUUUUGAAAAGUUGAGAAUAGUAAAUAACCGAAGAAAAUGAAUAUAGGAAAGUAUGUACCCGUACAGGUUACCUGGUUUAUGCAUUGUAGAAUAGCUGUGUUCUGUUGAACAGAAAUUAACCGAUGCUGUUGGAGAACUAAAUAUGAGUUUCCUUCUUUUGAGACUUUUUGUUCCUAAAUUUUCACAUUUUAAUGGAACUGGUGAUGUAGGUGUUGUUGUAUCAUCAUCAGCUAAUGAAGAUGGGGAGAUUGACCCCCACCCACAAAAUAUAUCGGGUAAUCAUUGAGAAGAUGAAUAUAAUUGGAGGUUGAGGAUGAUCAAGGAAAGAAGAAUAAUUGCCUAUAAUUUUUUUUCACUUCAGUUAUAAAGUUGAAUAAUAUUUUUGCAUACUAAGAACUUGAAAUUUAGUUGUUUGAAACAAAAAUAUUAUUGAUAAGAAAAAAAUGGAAUAAAAAGUUUUAUCAUCUGUGUAUUUGUAACAGAUAAUUAGUUUUUCAAUGUAUAUUGUGAUUAGUUAUAACAUAUUAAAUAUACUUUAUAAAUAAAAAUUUAAGUAAGGUCA